rnacentral:rRNA from 1 species
GAUGAACGCUGGCGGCGUGCUUAACACAUGCAAGUCGAACGAUGAAGCCCAGCUUGCUGGGUGGAUUAGUGGCGAACGGGUGAGUAACACGUGAGUAACCUGCCCUUGACUCUGGGAUAAGCCUGGGAAACUGGGUCUAAUACCGGAUAGGAACGUCCACCGCAUGGUGGGUGUUGGAAAGAUUUAUCGGUCAUGGAUGGACUCGCGGCCUAUCAGCUUGUUGGUGAGGUAAUGGCUCACCAAGGCGACGACGGGUAGCCGGCCUGAGAGGGUGACCGGCCACACUGGGACUGAGACACGGCCCAGACUCCUACGGGAGGCAGCAGUGGGGAAUAUUGCACAAUGGGCGAAAGCCUGAUGCAGCGACGCCGCGUGAGGGACGACGGCCUUCGGGUUGUAAACCUCUUUCAGUAGGGAAGAAGCGAAAGUGACGGUACCUGCAGAAGAAGCACCGGCUAACUACGUG